GAGGGAUCAUUACAGAGUUGCAAAACUCCCUAAACCAUUGUGAACGUUACCUAUACCGUUGCUUCGGCGGGCGGCCCCGGGGUUUACCCCCCGGGCGCCCCUGGGCCCCACCGCGGGCGCCCGCCGGAGGUCACCAAACUCUUGAUAAUUUAUGGCCUCUCUGAGUCUUCUGUACUGAAUAAGUCAAAACUUUCAACAACGGAUCUCUUGGUUCUGGCAUCGAUGAAGAACGCAGCGAAAUGCGAUAAGUAAUGUGAAUUGCAGAAUUCAGUGAAUCAUCGAAUCUUUGAACGCACAUUGCGCCCGCCAGCAUUCUGGCGGGCAUGCCUGUUCGAGCGUCAUUUCAACCAUCAAGCCCCCGGGCUUGUGUUGGGGACCUGCGGCUGCCGCAGGCCCUGAAAAGCAGUGGCGGGCUCGCUGUCGCACCGAGCGUAGUAGCAUACAUCUCGCUCUGGUCGCGCCGCGGGUUCCGGCCGUUAAACCACCUUUUAACCCAAGGUUGACCUCGGAUCAGGUAGGAAGACCCGCUGAACUUAAG
rnacentral:rRNA from 1 species